UCCAGGGGUGAAAUGAAUGGUGAAUUAUGAGGAAGGGUCCUCUGUCUCCAGGGCAUGACAACUGAUUCUUAUCCCAGCCCUCGCGAUCGUCUCAUUGGCUCACCAAGCUGCAAGCAGACGCGAGAACCCUCAUGCCUUUGAAGACAGACUAACUCAGGAAAGGACUUCAGGAAGCUUGUUGUGACUCCUUUGCUUUUCCUUCCUGCCAUUGAUGUUUUGCAAGGCCAGGCUUUGCUUGUACUUCCUAUUUGGCUGCAUGGUGAGUAGUUUUCUCGUUCGCUGUUAUUUUUGACUUCCGUCCAAGCUUUGUAUGAUAUUAAUAGCCGUUUUGGAGAAUGAUGUUUUUCCUCAAACUAGGCCUAAUCGUGGCAUGAAACAGAGCCAAGACCUGAUGCUAAGGCUUGAGGAACUUCACUUCUGAAUUUCUCCUCUAUGCAGAAUUGAAUAUAUUUUCAGGGAGUAUAAAACAUCACGAGCAUUUCUGC